rnacentral:rRNA from 1 species
CGGCGAUGUCCGAAUGGGGAAACCCAGUGCAAUUCGUUGCACUAUCGUUAACUGAAUACAUAGGUUAACGAGGCGAACCGGGGGAACUGAAACAUCUAAGUACCCCGAGGAAAAGAAAUCAACCGAGAUUCCCCCAGUAGCGGCGAGCGAACGGGGAGCAGCCCAGAGUCUGAAUCAGCUUGUGUGUUAGUGGAACGGUCUGGAAAGUCCGACGGUACAGGGUGAUAGUCCCGUACACCAAAAUGCACAGGCUGUGAACUCGAAGAGUAGGGCGGGACACGUGGUAUCCUGUCUGAAUAUGGGGGGACCAUCCUCCAAGGCUAAAUACUCCUGACUGACCGAUAGUGAACCAGUACCGUGAGGGAAAGGCGAAAAGAACCCCGGCGAGGGGAGUGAAAAAGAACCUGAAACCGUGUACGUACAAGCAGUGGGAGCACCUUCGGGUGUGACUGCGUACCUUUUGUAUAAUGGGUCAGCGACUUAUAUUCUGUAGCAAGGUUAACCGUAUAGGGGAGCCGCAGGGAAACCGAGUCUUAACUGGGCGUUAAGUUGCAGGGUAUAGACCCGAAACCCGGUGAUCUAGCCAUGGGCAGGUUGAAGGUUGGGUAACACUAACUGGAGGACCGAACCGACUAAUGUUGAAAAAUUAGCGGAUGACUUGUGGCUGGGGGUGAAAGGCCAAUCAAACCGGGAGAUAGCUGGUUCUCCCCGAAAGCUAUUUAGGUAGCGCCUCGUGAAUUCAUCUUCGGGGGUAGAGCACUGUUUCGGCUAGGGGGUCAUCCCGACUUACCAACCCGAUGCAAACUACGAAUACCGAAGAAUGUUAUCACGGGAGACACACGGCGGGUGCUAACGUCCGUCGUGAAGAGGGAAACAACCCAGACCGCCAGCUAAGGUCCCAAAGUCAUGGUUAAGUGGGAAACGAUGUGGGAAGGCACAGACAGCCAGGAUGUUGGCUUAGAAGCAGCCAUCAUUUAAAGAAAGCGUAAUAGCUCACUGGUCGAGUCGGCCUGCGCGGAAGAUGUAACGGGGCUAAACCAUGCACCGAAGCUGCGGCAGCGACACUAUGUGUUGUUGGGUAGGGGAGCGUUCUGUAAGCCUGCGAAGGUGACCUGUGAGGGUUGCUGGAGGUAUCAGAAGUGCGAAUGCUGACAUAAGUAACGAUAAAGCGGGUGAAAAGCCCGCUCGCCGGAAGACCAAGGGUUCCUGUCCAACGUUAAUCGGGGCAGGGUGAGUCGACCCCUAAGGCGAGGCCGAAAGGCGUAGUCGAUGGGAAACAGGUUAAUAUUCCUGUACUUGGUGUUACUGCGAAGGGGGGACGGAGAAGGCUAUGUUAGCCGGGCGACGGUUGUCCCGGUUUAAGCAUGUAGGCUGGUUAUCCAGGCAAAUCCGGAUAAUCAAGGCUGAGGUGUGAUGACGAGGCACUACGGUGCUGAAGUAACAAAUGCCCUGCUUCCAGGAAAAGCCUCUAAGCAUCAGGUAACAUCAAAUCGUACCCCAAACCGACACAGGUGGUCAGGUAGAGAAUACCAAGGCGCUUGAGAGAACUCGGGUGAAGGAACUAGGCAAAAUGGUGCCGUAACUUCGGGAGAAGGCACGCUGGUGUGUAGGUGAAGUCCCUGCGGAUGGAGCUGAGACCAGUCGAAGAUACCAGCUGGCUGCAACUGUUUAUUAAAAACACAGCACUGUGCAAACACGAAAGUGGACGUAUACGGUGUGACGCCUGCCCGGUGCCGGAAGGUUAAUUGAUGGGGUUAUCCGUAAGGAGAAGCUCUUGAUCGAAGCCCCGGUAAACGGCGGCCGUAACUAUAACGGUCCUAAGGUAGCGAAAUUCCUUGUCGGGUAAGUUCCGACCUGCACGAAUGGCGUAAUGAUGGCCAGGCUGUCUCCACCCGAGACUCAGUGAAAUUGAACUCGCUGUGAAGAUGCAGUGUACCCGCGGCAAGACGGAAAGACCCCGUGAACCUUUACUAUAGCUUGACACUGAACAUUGAGCCUUGAUGUGUAGGAUAGGUGGGAGGCUUUGAAGCGUGGACGCCAGUCUGCGUGGAGCCAACCUUGAAAUACCACCCUUUAAUGUUUGAUGUUCUAACGUUGGCCCCUGACCGGGGUUGCGGACAGUGUCUGGUGGGUAGUUUGACUGGGGCGGUCUCCUCCCAAAGCGUAACGGAGGAGCACGAAGGUUAGCUAAUCCUGGUCGGACAUCAGGAGGUUAGUGCAAUGGCAUAAGCUAGCUUGACUGCGAGCGUGACGGCGCGAGCAGGUGCGAAAGCAGGUCAUAGUGAUCCGGUGGUUCUGAAUGGAAGGGCCAUCGCUCAACGGAUAAAAGGUACUCCGGGGAUAACAGGCUGAUACCGCCCAAGAGUUCAUAUCGACGGCGGUGUUUGGCACCUCGAUGUCGGCUCAUCACAUCCUGGGGCUGAAGUAGGUCCCAAGGGUAUGGCUGUUCGCCAUUUAAAGUGGUACGCGAGCUGGGUUUAGAACGUCGUGAGACAGUUCGGUCCCUAUCUGCCGUGGGCGCUGGAGAAUUGAGGGGGGCUGCUCCUAGUACGAGAGGACCGGAGUGGACGCAUCACUGGUGUUCGGGUUGUCAUGCCAAUGGCACUGCCCGGUAGCUAAAUGCGGAAGAGAUAAGUGCUGAAAGCAUCUAAGCACGAAACUUGCCCCGAGAUGAGUUCUCCCUGAGACUUUAAGUCUCCUGAAGGAACGUUGAAGACGACGACGUUGAUAGGCCGGGUGUGUAAGCGCAGCGAUGCGUUGAGCUAACCGGUACUAAUGAACCGUGAGGCUUAACCUU